AUACAGAGGGUGCAAGCGUUAUUCGGAAUUACUGGGCGUAAAGCGCGCGUAGGCGGAUGAUUAAGUCAGUUGUGAAAGCCCUGGGCUCAACCUAGGAACUGCAUCUGAUACUGGUCGUCUAGAGUUUAAGAGAGGGAAGUGGAAUUCCAGGUGUAGCAGUGAAAUGCGUAGAUAUCUGGAGGAACAUCAGUGGCGAAGGCGACUUCCUGGCUUAAAACUGACGCUGAGGUGCGAAAGCGUUGGUAGCGAACGGGAUUAGAAACCCUUGUAGUCC
rnacentral:rRNA from 1 species